rnacentral:rRNA from 1 species
GGUUCAGGAUGAACGCUGGCGGCGUGCUUAACACAUGCAAGUCGAACGAAGCACUGAAGAAUGGAGAUUCGUCAAAGUUCUCUUUGACUGAGUGGCGAACGGGUGAGUAAUGCGUGAGCAACCUGCCCUUCAGAGGGGGACAACAGUUGGAAACGACUGCUAAUACCGCAUGACGUGUUUGGAUGGCAUCAUCUGAAUACCAAAGGAGAAAUCCGCUGAAGGAUGGGCUCACGUCUGAUUAGCUAGUUGGCGGGGCAACGGCCCACCAAGGCGACGAUCAGUAGCCGGACUGAGAGGUUGAACGGCCACAUUGGGACUGAGAUACGGCCCAGACUCCUACGGGAGGCAGCAGUGGGGAAUAUUGGGCAAUGGGCGAAAGCCUGACCCAGCAACGCCGCGUGAAGGAAGAAGGCCUUCGGGUUGUAAACUUCUUUUAACAGGGACGAAGAAGUGACGGUACCUGUUGAAUAAGCCACGGCUAACUACGUGCCAGCCGCGGC